UACGGGGGGGGCAAGCGUUGUUCGGAAUUACUGGGCGUAAAGGGCUCGUAGGCGGCCAACUAAGUCAGACGUGAAAUCCCUCGGCUUAACCGGGGAACUGCGUCUGAUACUGGUUGGCUUGAAUCCGGGAGAGGGAUGUGGAAUUCCAGGUGUAGCGGUGAAAUGCGUAGAUAUCAGGAAGAACACCAAUGGCGAAGGCAGCUCUCUGGGACGGUACUGACGCUGAGACGCGAAAGCCGUGGGGAGCGAACAGG
rnacentral:rRNA from 1 species